rnacentral:rRNA from 1 species
AGAGUUUGAUCCUGGCUCAGGAUGAACGCUAGCUGGAGGCCUAAUACAUGCAAGUCGAGCGGGAUUCAUGACUUCGGUUGUGAUGAGAGCGGCGCACGGGUGAGUAACGCGUACACGACCUACCUCUGACAGGGGGAUAGCCCCGGGAAACUGGGAUUAAUACCGCAUACGAUUCAGUUGAUAGAGCGACUGAAUGAAAGCUGAGGCGGUCAGAGAUGGGUGUGCGUCUGAUUAGCUAGUUGGUAGGGUAACGGCCUACCAAGGCGAUGAUCAGUAGGGGGCGUGAGAGCGUGAUCCCCCACACGGGUACUGAGACACGGACCCGACUCCUACGGGAGGCAGCAGUAAGGAAUAUUGGUCAAUGGGCGCAAGCCUGAACCAGCCAUCCAGCGUGCAGGAAGACGGCCCUAUGGGUU